rnacentral:rRNA from 1 species
ACGGGUGAGUAACACGUGGGUAACCUGCCCAUCAGAAGGGGAUAACACUUGGAAACAGGUGCUAAUACCGUAUAACAAUCGAAACCGCAUGGUUUUGAUUUGAAAGGCGCUUUCGGGUGUCGCUGAUGGAUGGACCCGCGGUGCAUUAGCUAGUUGGUGAGGUAACGGCUCACCAAGGCCACGAUGCAUAGCCGACCUGAGAGGGUGAUCGGCCACAUUGGGACUGAGACACGGCCCAAACUCCUACGGGAGGCAGCAGUAGGGAAUCUUCGGCAAUGGACGAAAGUCUGACCGAGCAACGCCGCGUGAGUGAAGAAGGUUUUCGGAUCGUAAAACUCUGUUGUUAGAGAAGAACAAGGAUGAGAGUAACUGUUCAUCCCUUGACGGUAUCUAACCAGAAAGCCACGGCUAACUACGUGCCAGCAGCCGCGGUAAUACGUAGGUGGCAAGCGUUGUCCGGAUUUAUUGGGCGUAAAGCGAGCGCAGGCGGUUUCUUAAGUC